GAUGAACGCUGGCGGCGUGCCUAAUACAUGCAAGUCGAACGAACAGACGAGGAUCUUGUUCCUUUGACGUUAGCGGCGCACGGGUGAGUAACACGUGUAUAACCCACCUAUAUGACUGGUAAAACUUCGGGAAACCGGCGCUAACACCGUAUAAUCUACUGAACCGUAUGGUUCAUUAGAGAAAGACGGUUUUGCUGUCACUUAUAGAUGCAUCCGGGCCGUAUUAGCUAGUUGGUAGGGUAACGGCUUACCAGGGCGACGAUGCGUAGCCGAACUGUGAGAGUGGUAGGCGGCACUAGAGGUGGAACGCGGUCCAGGCGCCUGCGAGAGGGCGCAGUAGGGUAUCGGCCGCAGUAGGCGGAAGCAUGACGGAGCAGCGGGGCGUGAGUGAUGGAGGUCUUCGGAUCGGAAAGCUCUGUUAUGAGGGAAAAACAGAUGUGUAAGGAACUAUGCACGUAUUGACGGUAACUAGUCAGAAAGCAACGGCUAACUACGUG
rnacentral:rRNA from 1 species